ensembl:lncRNA
UUUUCUCGUCUUGUUGGAGGGUGGGUGAGGGAGAGGAAGACCUUGUCUUUGUGUAGAGAGACUAAAGCCGUCACAGGAAACUAGAUUAAAACUGGAAAACAAGUCCUAGCUGGUUCCAGCCAAACACCAGCGUUAACUCGGGGAGCCCUAAACAGCCCUCAGCGAAGCCGCCUUUUUGCCAACCCAACCCUGGAAAGUUUGCAGAAGUGGAAGGACAGAAAAUGCCCCGAGAGUGUAACUUUCAAAAAGGUAACAUCAACCAAAAAGACAACACCAAAACCCCAAAUUUUCCCAACUAAACAAUCAAAAAAUAAGAUUAUUUUUAUAAUAACAUCUCCAAAACCAUCACCGCCCAGCUUGAUCUACACUCCAUGGCACCGGGCUGAGCGGGUAAGUAAAAAAAAAAAAAAAAAAAAAAAAGUGCCUUUUGCCCCCUUCGAGGAAAUCCCUUUUUUUUUUUUUUCGAGCGGGCCACGGGCUGCGAAUGUUUGGGAGCUGAGGGGACCACGGUUCCGGACUUGUGUGUUUUGGCAGCCGGAGUGUGGGGAAGUGGGGGGCCUUGGACGGCUCAGCAGACCGCUCACUUCCUGAGGGGGAAGGGGGGGCCCCCCGCGACCCUCGGGCGUCCAUGGAGGCCCCCCUGCCCUUCCCUGCCCUGAGCCUCGGGGGGGGGCAAGAAAUUGACGUGCUUUGGACAUGGGGGGGUUCCAGGAGACGACCCGGGGAGGGCCCGCCCCCCUUCCGGGUCGGGGGGGCCCGGCGGCCCGGGGGCCCGGUCUCUUCGGGGUUCCCGGGCGGCCCCUUCCCCCUUCAAAGGAG